GAUUGAUGGAAUUAAUGGAAGAAUGAUUGCCACCUCACAAUUUCUGACCGGCGUUAAACGGAUGUCGCGAUGUUGUUUUUUUUCUUUUUAAAUUGGAUAUUUUGCUGCUUGGAAAUAAAUUUCUCUCAAGUUUUUCUAAUUCGUUUGUUUGAUUUUAUGGAAGAUUGAAAAUAUUAUUGGCAAAGGAAAUCUAAUAAUAAUCUUCGAACUGGUGUACGUAUUUGAAACAUUACUCAUUCGUUAUUUACAAUUUCAGAUAGACGAGGAAAAUUCAAGCGUAUAAAUAUUUUCAUGCGAAUAUGUGUCCAGGAAAGAGAGAGAGCGCACGAACAAAACAGACUUAUUCCCCUUCCGAGCCUUUCUCAGAACGGUAUAAAAACUUUAGAAGCUGACGUACACCAGACCUUAUUGUACACCAGUCUGACACGUAUCGUCGAAGGGAACGGAAGAGAAUAUAUCUCCUCCUCUCCACCAGAAGAAGGAGAAAUAAAAUUUCCCUCGUGCCUAUCCCGCGAGGAACAACUCGAGGAAAUUUGGAUAUUCGACGGGAGAAAAUCGUCGUCGUCGGCCAACUUUGAUAUCACGAUGGAAACUAGCAGGGUCCAGGAAAUCUUGUCCCCGGAUAUAAUUUAGCGGGUUGCCGUCUGUCCAAACAAACCGCUAGCCCACCGAGUUUGCUCAGUGUCCACGCUCUGUAAUUCGAAACGAGGAGGGGAGGGAGAGGAAGGGGUUGUUGGAGACGUUCAAUUUUCGCAAAGGAGGCCGGCCAAGUUGUUCUCGCGGCCGAGAUCAACGUCUUGAUACGUAAUAUCAAGGUGGGGAGGGGGAUGUUGGAAAGAGGAGACCGCGCCGCUACCAGUGUAUUUCCUGCGCCAAAGCCUCGAAGGAGAGCCGGAAAUCAGCGGGGGAGAGGAUCAAUCCCAAUGGUGGAGAAUUGCGAAGAAGAAAUUGUAAAGGAAAUUAUCUACUUCUUAAUUAUAAAUUUAAUCUAUCAAUCUUGGAUACCAUCCAAAUCAUUCAUGCCCGGCACGGCAGCCGCAAAAUAAAGCUCCCAGCAUAAAGAGCUUUACUUCCUGCGGGCAUGAAACAAUUAUCGCCAUCCGCCGUGGGCACAAAGAAGAAGCAGAAGAAGGAAAAGGGACGAGGCAAAGGGGUGGCAGCGUGAUUACACGGGGAGUCCGGCUUCGCGGCGAUCAAAGGGGAUCCCGGGACCGGUGUGGUCGUCGCUAAUCGUAAGCUUUUACGUAAUAGCCACCCCCUUCUUCUCCUCCUACACCAACCCCUGGAAGCCACCGUCGAUCGGUUUCGUCUAGUUUUUACAAGGGGGUGACGAGCGUUACCUCGUCGAAAAAGAUAAAUUUGAAACUCCCUCUUUUGUGAAACUCUUCUCUCCUCUCUUACCACCCACUCAUCCACCCUCGUCGAGGAUGAUUAAGGAUUUUAAAGCUGGGACGUGAACAGCAACGUUCCUCGAUCGAAUAAAUUCUGCCUCCACUUACAUUCUUUAAAUAUCUUCGAUUGAAUUCCUUGGAUAUAUAGUUUCCUUUUUUGGAAAUUGCCUGAGUUGAUAUUUUAAAAAAUUCGAGGAGUUUUAUAUAUCUUAUUGUUUGAGAAUUAGGAGAAAGAAAAUUUGAAAGAGAUAUAUAAAUUGCACUGAAUCGAAGAAAAUUUCUACUAAUUUAGCGGAAAUGGGGGUGAGAAUGUUAUUGGAUACGUUUUGGCGCCAUCUAAAUUCGUAAGGGUGUAUUUUUCCGCACUGUACCCAAAUCGAUUAAUCUUCCUUUCCAACAGAUGGCGCUGUUAAGAGCGACCCCUAACAGCCGCUAACAGGCAAGGGAUGAAGAAAACUAACCGACGGAAAGUGAUUUUACCGACGCUUUUAUCUAACCAGGAUUAAACCCCAACUAUGUCUGGCUUGUCAUAAUCUCUUUCUACUUGUCCAAUUACACUAAUCUAAUUGUACCAAUGUUUCUCUCGCAUGCAUUUUGAUUUUCGAAUUGCAAUUGGUUUAAAAAAAAAAAUGCAAAGAAUGGUACAUAUUUUAUCAUUUCUUUUCUAUUUUCCAUUCGAUAUUAACGAUAUUGAUUCAUAAAUUAGUAUAUUUGUACAGAAAGUAUAAAUUACUAAAUUACUAAAUUUGCAUCGUACAUACGUAUUCGAAUUAUCUUUAUAUUUAUCAAUUGAAAUCGAUAUAAUCAUAUUAUGACACGUUAGUUUCAGUACGAUUUCGAUAUUUGAGGCUAAUCUCGGAAAAGGAAGUAAGAGACUUGUAUCUUUCCAUUCCGAAAUAGGACACGCGUCCGUUAAACCAUCCCCUGGGAGAACUACUGCAAUCUGAGACGUGACCCUCUAAAACUGACAUUUCUUCAGACCACUUUAAAACAUCCAUUCCACGUUGUAUUGUAUUUUUAAAAGUUAAAAUAUUCGUGGAAUCUGUUUUUGUUAUGGGGAAUAUAUCGUGAAAAGUAUUCAGACACGUAUCUUAUCAUAGCACGUUUUUAUUUAUUAUAUUUCAUUUAUAUUCAAUUCUACUCGUAAAAUGAAAUGGUUGCAAAAAUUGCACAAACUCGAAACGAUAUUAAAAGUAUUGUAUUAUGAUAAACACAUAAAAGAAGAGUGAAUGUUUUCAGAAAAAUGAAAAAAAAAUAAACAUAUAUAUAUAUAUAUUUUUUAAAUCGACUCGAUGUUAUUAAAAUUUAUUUCCUUGGUUCGAAAUGUGUUUAUAAAAAUAAGCAAAUAAUGCGAACAAAACAUGCAUGCAAAUAUAAAUAAAACGUGCAAAAAAAAUCAUAUAACUAUGAGUAAAAUGUAUUAUAAAACUUUGUAACUGUGUAUCGUGUAAAAAAAAUAUCGUGCAAAAACCCACUAAAUGAAAAUAAUUUUACUAAAUCAAGCAUCGUAAAAAAAAAAAAAUCAUUAUUUCUCCAUUUCCUCGUGUUAUUUCCAUUUCCAUAAUUACAAUCGUCAAAUUUGUCAUAAACCAACAUCGCCAAUCAUAAAGAAAAACCCAAACAGACCCAGUUAUUUCUUGAUCUUCUUCGCAAUUUCCGUUUCCAUUAAUUAUCAAUUAAUAAUCAACACUGCCAAGCAAACGAUUUCUUCGAUAUCGUCAAAGAAUCGUUUAUCCCCCCCGGAUUUCCUUCCAUACAAUUUCCAUUUCCAUAAUUUACAGCGAUCAAUCGAUCGACAAAUUUAUCAUAAACACCAAUAUACAAUCCUUUAUUCAUGAUCGAGUAAGAAAGAGAAGAGAAUCGUUUCGUUUCACGAUCUUCGUAAUUACGAAUCGUGAUGAUGAAAAACAUUUUAAUUACAUUACUUAUAUUGGAGAAACGACAGGUUGAGAUCCAGGUUGAGGUCCAACCGAUGAUGCAUCCAUUGGACACGGUUGGUGGUUCCAGAACGAGGCGCGACGGUGUAGGGAACAACGUUAAUCAGGCCGAGUAAACAGCUGGCGCUGAUUGUGCCACACACGUAGUAUAUGGGAAAUAGGCGGCGGCACACAAAGCGUGAGGAAUCUACGAGGGUGGGCCAUCGAUCGUCCCAAAAGCUGGUGUUAUUCGGCCAGGAGGAAAGUGCUCGUUCAAGACCGCAAACCGAGCCCAGGGACCCUUGGCGCGGACAACGAAUCACGCGUCGAGGGUAAAUUCAACCCCUCCCUCCUCCCCUCGAAUUCAGGUAAAAUCGAUGCCGCCGUUACCUUAACCCCUUGUUUCAAUUAUUUCCCAUUGAUCGCCCGCCACACGCGAAGCUUUAAGUUAGGGUGGAUCGAUGGCGAGCUUUGCUUCAUUUUUUGACUCGAUUCUGAUCCUUUCUUUUUUUUUUUAGAUAUAUAUAUGAAGAAUUUAUCAAGGUAAGCAAGGAAGCAAUUCUUUAGACGAUAGAAAAACGAUGAAAAAUGAAGUGAAAGGUGCAAUGCGAAUUCGUUGUUAUUCUUGUAAAAUUGACUCGCGAAUGAAAUAUGGAAUUUUUAUAAAUAAUCUAUUUUAAGAUAAUUAGGAUUGACAUAAUGAUUUAUAGCUACGCCUAUAUAAUUUAGAUAUGUAAUGUUAAAGAAACAUAUAUUCAUGGAAACAUAUUGCACUUAAUUCGUAGAAUCUAUUUGAAUAGAAGUUAAUCUUAAUUUUUAACUUUUUUUUUUUAGAAUUACGCUACUCGUCACGGUUCAACAGAUGUAUAUAAGCAGUUACAUAAAAUAUAUACACAGAGUUUGUAUAAGCAAAUUAAAGGUAAAGGAAAAGGAUCGGUAUUUUUGUUUCGCAAGAUACACAGUUGAAAUCUUCUUUCGACCGUGCUUAUUCACGUUCUCAAGUUAAGAGAAACUUGCUUAAAUUCAAUUCGAAACAUUUCAAAGCAAAUCCUCCUUGGUAAUUCUAGUGAAAAGUACCAGUACGAGGGGUAGAUACCUGUAACCGUGGCUUCGAUUCAUCUCGAAUAAACUGAGAAAGCCCCAUCCUUGACCCUUGGAAGGCGUUCGUUAAUAUCGAAUUAUUUCCCCACCCCCUCCUUAAAAUAAAGAAACUUUAUCAAAUUUAAUUGCGGAUACUUUGCUCUCCACUCGACCUUUGAGCGAUUAAAAAAAAAAAAAAAAAAGGAAAGAAAGAAAAAGGAAGGAGAGAAAAAAGUACGAAGAAUCCUCCUCCUUAUAUAUAUAGCACUGUCGAGGCCUUAAUAAAUUGCGAAGACUUCUCCAACGGUAUUUACCUUCCCACUAAUCCCUCGAACGUUGUCACUUCUUAAAGGAUCCAGGGAAAUCUCUUAAAUGCUUUAAAUGGGUGCAAAGAGAGGGCGGAAUAAGGAAGUUAUCGGCUUAAGGCGAGUAGCGAGCGAACGACAGCCAACAGGCGAAUAAAACCGAUAGAGCUGACCACACCGCUGCCAUUUCCCCACUUCAUUUUCGUCGAUUGCUUUUUUCCUUUUUUCCUUUUCCUUUUUUUUUUAUUAUCGCGACAUCGAGAUGGAGUUUGUUUUUCUUCGUGAAUUUCAAUUUCAACAUUCUCCUCCCCCUGUUCAACUUUCGAAAUGGAGAGAGAGAGAGAGAGAAAGAGAGAGAGUACACGGCUGUCCGAAUUUUCGUUACAACGCAAACGUUUAAACUUCUCGAACGGUAUUCCAAUUCGGAACGUGAAUUGAGAAUUUCAAUUGGCCGAGAAGUCAAUGAAGUGUGUUUCUAUUUUCCGCCAUUUAUUUUAUAAUACGUACAAUAUAUUUUAAUUCGAGUGGAAUGAAGGUUUAUUUUACUUUUUUUUUAGGAAAUAUUUUAUUAGUUUGAUUGUUCAAAGUUGGAAAAGUUAAAUUGCGAAUUUGGAUCGAUUGAAAGAGUCAAUGGUAUUAUUAUUAUUAUUAUUAUUGCCAUUAUUAAUGUUAUCAUUGCGCUCAUUAACGUCUCUUUCUCUCUCUUUGCUAUCCAUUUGGUCGUGAAAUAUCGAUAAUAAUAGUUGGCAUGGGGAAGAAAAGAGAAGAAUUUUAAAAAGGAGGUUCCAUUCGGAAUAGUGCUGGCUCAUUUUGAGAUCAAAGAUAUGCCAGACAAUAGAGAACUACUGUAUAUGUACUGGAUGGGUCAUUUGAACUAUAUUGCCUGAUGGGGAGAGUAGCUUUGUUGCGUAUUCAGAAAAAUAAAGGAAUAUCUGCUCUUAAUGAGUCCCUUUGAAUAAAGAACAUAGAGAUUAAAUUCAAAACCUAUUAUUCUCUCAAGAAGGAAUAUCAUAUUCUAAAUCUUUCGUUUAAAUUUUAUACGAAUUAUUGGAGCAACAAGAAUUUUGUCGUAUCUGUUACUUCAUAGAAAGAAACCAUCCCCUUCAUUUAUGACAAAUGAAUAAAAAUAUCAGAGAAAUAAGGAAAUAAUUAUAGUUUUAUAUUAUUUGGAAGAAGUGAAAAUUAUCAAAAUCAUACACUCGAAUAUCUAAAAUCGAUGGCGAAUGGAGCUCAUUUCAAUUAGGAAGGCAAUAAACUAACAGAUGUAGAAAUUAGGGAAUUCGGUGUAAUGGGUUAUCGAGCUAAUAUGUCUGGAAUAAUGUUCGUUUUUAUAGGUUGAUGGAGACUAGGCGUGGCUCCCUGACGAUCCUCGUUAAUCUUUCACGUGAAGCUUCUUCGAUUUUGCGUUAGAAAAUCUUAUUACGAACAUCGAGACAUCGUUUAUGUAUUUAUGUAUUUAUCUACGUUCUGAAUAAUGAAUUAUUUUUGAUGAGAUCAAAAGUUUAAUACUCAUAUAACAUGAAACAAUUUGUAAAUGUGGAUACAAUUCUCUUUCAGAGUAUUCGAUUUAAGAGAAUUUUGAAAUUAUUUUCUUCUAAAAUCUUCAAUGCUACAUAAAAAUAUAUAAAAUUGGAGUUAAAAAUACUUGAGAAUAAUUAAAAAUUUUUGUCUAACGAUACCAAUAUUAAUUUAACAAUCGUUAACAACUCGCCAAAAAAUCUCUUCUCCAGAAUACGAAAUGUUUCCGUGGAAUUUUGUGCAAGAGUACCGUCAAAUAAUGCGGUCGUCCAAAGGAUUUGCGUUUGAGUUUCACGAGAGACGCGACAAGAGACGGAGAAAGAGGCGUCCAGGUACAGUUCCAACCUGGUUGUUUUUCAGCCUCGCAUUUCCAUACCGUCUGCAGGAGGCCUGUAUGGAAAUUCGACGCGGCGGGCACGCCUUCCGCGUACCAAUAUUGAGUUCGAACGAAUACUGAUGGCCGCAUGCAUUAUCCUUCACCGAUGGAUAAACGGGGGUACAAGGAAACGAGGACCGUUGAAGCGAGGCUGUCUAGCGCGUGAUCUGCUACGAAUUAAUACGAUUAAAGUUUGCCCAUUUGCUGGAGAAUUCGAACGUAGCCGAAUUUUUUCCAGGUGAAAUGAAGAGAAGGUGGAUGGAAGAAGAAGAAUUUGUCGAAAAGGUGCUUUUCAUAAAUCAUCCUCGGCUCCGUGAAGGAUCAGAAUGAUAGGUCGUGCGCAAAUGAUCCUCGUGCUGAGCGGAGGUUUCGCACAAUGGCCGACGAAUGUCUAAAAAGCGGCCUGUUAAUGGUCAAAGGUGCUCCGAUGGUCGGAAAGGGUUGGUCUCGAGGACGUUUUCACCGGUCUGCCGACGCAUAGGCACGCUAACAAAAGUCGAAAAGGUGAGUGGAAGAUUCCCUUCUCCGCGCUCUGUUCUCAGGUCUCUUCCGCCCCCUCCUUUUUUCUUUCCGGUUCCUACAUUGCUCUCUUCUCGGGGAUUUCCCUCUUCCGAACCGAGGCUGCGCUGCGAGUCUCGCUCAACUGCAAUGGAAUUUGCUUAAGGGUUGAGAGGAGGAGGGUUCGAGGAGUAAGGAAAAAAAGAGUGGAAACGUCGGUGGAAACUGAAAGGGAAGUAGAAGUGGGUGCAAGGUAAAAUAAUGAGCGAUUAAGAGGGAAAAGCAUGGAAAAGAAGCAUUGCGAUUGCGUAGAAAGGAUAUAUCUGGUAGCAAUGGAACGAAAUAUGUCGAUUUGAAUUAAAUCGAUACCAAGAUUGGAAUAAUAUUUAUUUAAAUGGAAGCCGUAUUUUUAAUUCUUUUUAUUUUUAAUCCGUAGUGUUGAUAGAUCCUUUCUAUGAAACGAAUCUCUAUAUCUUAAAUCAGUAACGAAUCAUUUACUCGCGUAAAAUCACGAAUAGAACUCCGAUUUCUCAAGUAAAAAGCAUGCAAAGAAAUUAAAAAUAUUGUCAUCGAAACCUUCUCAGAAAAUAGAGAAAACCAUGCCAUUGAAAUCCCUUUUUGUUUUAUCCCGAUAUCUCAAUCCGUUGCCGAGAUAUAAAGAUUCAAAGUUUCCAUAGCGCUUAACGUAGGCGCAGAUAUUAUGAAUGAGUCCAUGACCUACCUUUUUUCCUAGAAAUGCGUACUACGUUUUUCCAGGAAUCGCGUCUGUCGCUUGUCUGCAAUUUGGGAUAGGUCAGUGAGACGAGCGCGAGAGAGAGAUCCGAGUAAGUGACAAGGACGCAAAUAAUAAACGAUGAAAAAUUACCUUUUCCUUUACACGACGAUAUCUCCGGAACCGGAAGUCGUAUCGGGAUAAAUGAAAGCGCGUUUUAAAGGGCAAGGUCUCGCGCUUCUAACGAUCCCUUGCUCGUUAACCGGAAGUAACUAUCUUGGGAGUUAUAGCGGUUCAAAGUUUUCCUAAUUUCAAUAGAGUUUGAUUAGGUUAAGGUGAAUGAUUAAAAAAUUACUCUUUUCUUUAGACGAUGAUAUCUCGGGAACCGGAAGUCGUAUCGAGAUAAAUAAAAGCGCGUUUUAAAGUGAAAGAUUUCACGCUUCCAAUGGUCUCCGAUCCAUUCAUCUGUGAUCACUAUCUCCGAAGUUAUAGCGAUGUAAAUAUUUCCUAAUUUCACACAUAAUAAGUAAUUGAAUACACAUACGUGAUGAAUCUCGAAAAACUGGAAUGAAAUGCGCAAGUGCAACAUAUUAAAUACGAUUCCGGUGCUAAUAUCGAACGAAAACCUCCACAAAGGAUACAGAUGCGGCGGAGCCAACGAUAAACUCGUGGGCAAGAUAGAAGAGAGGCACGUAGGAUACAAUUAGAGCGGAUAACAAAGGAAGUAAGAUUAAUGGGCGGGUAAAAGGGCGUGCAGGAGAGCAGGACACACGCGGUCGCGAGGAAUAAAAAGAAAAGACGCGCGAGGAGGGGGAGGGCACGGAAUGAGCCGAUACAGAGAGAAAACUUUUCAGUGUGUGUGUGUCCGGGAUCCGAUGUGUGCCUCCACUCCGCGGUGAGAUGAAAGCAAACGGAAGGGCGUAAAUGUAAAUUGGUACAUUCCUACGGCGUUCUUAAUUAACUUCUUUGCAAUUAUCAUGACGGGGUGUUCCGCGCCGCGUGAGCGUGUCUGCAGUCCGCUUCGUGCUUGUCUCUCGGCGUGGAAUACAUGAGAAAGAGAGAGAGAAAGAGAGAGAGAGAGAUGUAAAAAGAAAAAAAGAAGGAAAAGUAGAUUCUUCCUUGUUCGGGCGAGCCAGAGAAUUCCCUCAAAGGCGUGCUUUUCUCUCUCACGAGCCACGAGCGCCCUUUACAGGGGGUGUUUAAAAACCGCGUGUACUUUGUACGCAAGAAUUGCAUUCAUUCGGCACUUCUCAAACGCUACCUGACUACGGAUACGUGGUGAAGUGGGAACCGGGCUCUUAAUGCAAUUUUGGAAAGCGUUUGUUGCCACGACUUUGAACGGUCUCACGCACGAGUGCGUAAGGCCCGUGCUCCACGCGUUUCCGCGUCUGCUCACCCUCGCGCCCCUAGAACAACUUGAUUUUCUUGGCAGGCAAGCGGACAAAAGUAAGCCGGCUAUUUACAACUCGUGGAGAAGGACCGUACAGGAGGAUUUUCGGGGAAAUUUUUAUUUUCAUCUUAAUUCGGCUUGAAUUUUUUUUUUUGUUAGACUAUUCUAAUGGAUGUCAUUUGACUAAAUAGUGUCUUGAGAAAUAUUAUCUUUUAACGGUAUAAUAUUUUUCUAGAACGAUACAUUAAUAUGAUUAAUAUUAGUUAUUCUGAAAUUAUUUAUAUAACAAGGAUAUAUCUAACUUUUGUGCGAAAUCAUGUAAUAUUGUUAUCAUUUUAUCAUUUUUAUUUCUUUUAAUUUUUUAAAUGUAUUCAUUGUUCAAUCAGAAAGAGAGAGAGAGAAAUUCAAUUAUUAAGCAAUCAAAUUCGAAUUCAACGAUUUUCAAUAUGUUUAUCAGAUUGAUUACCAAAAUUAUCGUCCAAAAUCCAUGACGCUCGAUCAAUAUCAACGAGGACAGAUCAAAGGAUACAAUGUGCUAGGUUCAACCAAUAAUCGUCACCUCCGAUGGAUAUCGGAUUUACGGCAAUGUUCUCAGCCCGCCCACACUUCUCAGUACCAACACGCAACGUGCAUUAGUACGCAAGUGCGUUAUGCUCUUGACAUGUUCAUUUGGGCGGUGUGCAUAUGCAUAUGUGUACGGAUGCAUCCACCCUUUAACGAUGGGAAUGGUGAAUGCAUAAACAAGAGGAAAUUUAGGAUAUUACUUGCACUUCAAAGUGCAACCCAACCUCGAGUAAUACAUUUCCAUUUGUACAGUAAUAUCGAUGAUCAUGAUUAUCGCGUGUCAUUACUAUCGAUUAAAAUUAUCUUCCCAUUCACCUUGUGCACGCCCGAUAUCGGAUUAAAUUUCCACUACAGAGGGAGGAGGGGCUGCUAUCCAAAUCGAAAUAAAGUUAUAAUUAUACGUAUCUAUCCCAAUGAGAUGCGAAUAUUGCAUCAGAUACACCUUUGUAAAGUUUCGUUUGAUCGUUAAUGAGAUAUUUUUUGCGCAUCCUCGUAUCGAUCGUCGUAUCAUUCACGUUCUAUACUCGAUAAAUUUCUCUCGACAAAUCUCAAAAUUGCGCACGACAUUUUUCACGACACGGAUCAUUUCAAACGGACGGGUAACGACAACAAGACACCCUUAAUUAUCACUCGCAACCCCUCGUGUGGGACCUAAAGGUGUGAAUACCUUUAUCGGGACGUAUUCGCGCAAAAAUUAAUUGUGGAGCAAUGCGGAUACGAAUAUUUUACCAAGCUUUCAACGCGCGUAGGAAGCGUAGGUAGAAAAGCCAUUAUCGUCUACCCUCUAGCACGAGUUAAUGAACGAACCGGGGUCCAGUGCAAAAUUCAAAGGUUCUCGCUCGCAAACUCCAAUAUACCGUAACGUGUUUCUAUGCGUCUGUUGUGUUUUUAUUGGGCGAGGGAGGGAGGGGAGGGAGGUCGCGCGGUCGAACGUCUAACUACGAGCGAAAAGAUUUAAAUGGCUGUGGAUAACGCGAUACACUGUGAUUUUAAUUUAAAAAAGAGGAAAAGAAAGGAAGGAGGGAUAUUCGAAAAUUCAGAAAAAUAUGGGAAAGAAGAAACUGUGCAGAGAAAUUUGAAGAUGAACGAAUCUUUGCAUCAUCAUAAAUAUUUAUGAAAAUUUUCAAUAAGAUUUUUAAAAUUUAAGAUUUCAUUUCGACUCUUCACGAUCAUGUAUACGAGUAUAUAUUUGGAUCGAAAAAUUUUGCAAUUAAUGAAGCGAAGAAAUGACGCAUUUAAAAAAAAUAUAUAGGAAUAAUUUUAAUUUUAGAAUUUUAGAAUUUUUCUUAAAGAUGAUUAAUCAUUUAAUUCUUUCUAUUGCAUUUCUAAUUUAUAAUUAAGCCAGAAAUUUAAUAAAUUUACGUUUAUUCGUACCCAUCAAAAAUCUUCAAAAAGUGUGCAAGAUUCGCGAGUGUUCGAGGUUUCAACGAUCACGUGGGAAUCGUUUCGGUCCGAUAGAUAGGGUUCAAGGCUUAAAAUGCAGCAUUUGUAAGAGGCAAACAAACGUCUCUGUGAGCCGGGCGAUGCUUAUCAGUCCGACGUACCGGACGUAUUUAUUAGCGAACGUGGGCAAACAGGAGGGUUUCCGCAAUCUUGGAGUUUGUUUUACGUGGACAGGGCAAAUAAUUCAUUAGGAGCAUAAACCUCGCAUCAGGCUGCAAUUCAAUUUACGACGAGACCUUGUCCAACUGCACAUCCACUCUACACAUGAUAUUGACCACGGACAAGGUGGGCUACGACACACGCGCGCGAGGGGGAUUUCAAAAUUAACAUUCUCUGUGGACACGUCGAAACGGAUUAAAAUACCUUCCCGUAUCCUGGUAUCCCCGGGAAAAAUGGAAUUAUUAUUGAAUCGUGAUAACGAAUUUUAUUAUCUGGGGAAUUUGAAAGCAUUUCAUCGCGCGAUACUGUUUAUUUUUUCAUACUUUCAGACAGGGUUUUUAAUUCGUUUUCGCGUGUAAAAUUACUCGAA